AGGACAUCCGACUGUUCCUUUUAAAAAUGGCUCUUGACAUUCAGGUACAAUGUUGGAAAGAAGAUGAAUGGGACAAAAGGGCUGUAAGGCUGGUGAAUAGAAGACUUCCUAAAUAAAAUGACGGAAAGGAACUCUUGUGAAAAAAGCAAAACAAAACUGGAGGCAUAGACGAUUACAAAAAUAAAACUGGAAGCCAAAGCA